rnacentral:tRNA from 1 species
CUAAAGUGCAAAUUUAGAGAAGCGCCGGUGGCGCCUAGGCUUUUUCUUUUUU